UACGUAGGGGGCGAGCGUUGUCCGGAUUUACUGGGCGUAAAGGGCGUGCAGGCGGUUUGUUAAGUGCAGAGUGAAAGCUCCCGGCUUAACUGGGAGGGGUCGCUCGAUACUGGCGAGCUCGAGGCAGGUAGGGGGAAGCGGAAUUCCCGGUGUAGUGGUGGAAUGCGUAGAUAUCGGGAGGAACACCAGUGGCGAAGGCGGCUUCCUGGACCUGUUCUGACACUGAGGAGCGAAAGCGUGGGGAGCGAUCCGG
rnacentral:rRNA from 1 species